AGAGUUUGAUCCUGGCUCAGAAUCAACGCUGGCGGCGCGCCUAACACAUGCAAGUCGAACGAGAAAGUGGAGCAAUCCAUGAGUAAAGUGGCGUACGGGUGAGUAACACGUGGAUAAUCUGCCCUUUAGUGGGGAAUACCGAUGGGAAACCGUCGACAAUACCGCAUAAGCUCGAGAGAGGAAAGCAGCAAUGCGCUGAAGGAGGAGUCCGCGGUCGAUUAGUUAGUUGGCGGGGUAAAGGCCCACCAAGACUGUGAUCGAUAGCCGGCCUGAGAGGGCACACGGCCACACUGGCACUGAAACACGGGCCAGACUCCUACGGGAGGCAGCAGUGGGGAAUCUUGCACAAUGGGGGAAACCCUGAUGCAGCGACGCCGCGUGAGCGAUGAAGCCCCUCGGGGUGUAAAGCUCUUUCGGCAGGGAAGAUUAUGACGGUACCUGCAAAAGCAGCUGCGGCUAACUACGUGCCAGCAGCCGCGGUAAUACGUAGGCAGCAAGCGUUGUUCGGAGUUACUGGGCGUAAAGGGUGCGUAGGCGGCUUUUUAAGUUUGGUGUGAAAUCUCCCGGCUCAACUGGGAGGGUGCGCCGAAUACUGAGAGGCUAGAGUGUGGGAGAGGAAAGUGGAAUUCCUGGUGUAGCGGUGAAAUGCGUAGAUAUCAGGAGGAACACCGGUGGUGUAAACGGCUUUCUGGACCAUAACUGACGCUGAGGCACGAAAGCGUGGGUAGCAACAGGAUUAGAUACCCUGGUAGUCCACGCCCUAAACGAUGCAUAUUUGGUGUGGGCCAUUCAUUUGGUCUGCGCCGGAGCUAACGCGUUAAAUAUGCCGCCUGGGGAGUACAGUCGCAAGGCUGAAACUCAAAGGAAUUGACGGGGGCCCGCACAAGCGGUGGAGCAUGUGGUUUAAUUCGACGCAACGCGAAGAACCUUACCUGGGCUCGAAAUGCUAUGGACCAGCUGGUGAAAGCCGGCCUUCCCGCAAGGGACUGUAGUAUAGGUGCU
rnacentral:rRNA from 1 species